rnacentral:rRNA from 1 species
UUCAUGGAGAGUUUGAUCCUGGCUCAGGACGAACGCUGGCGGCGUGCUUAACACAUGCAAGUCGAACGGAAAGGCCCUGCUUGCAGGGUGCUCGAGUGGCGAACGGGUGAGUAACACGUGGGUGAUCUGCCCCUGACUUUGGGAUAAGCCUGGGAAACUGGGUCUAAUACCGGAUAUGACCAAGGAUUGCAUGGUUCUUGGUGGAAAGCUUUUGCGGUUGGGGAUGGGCCCGCGGCCUAUCAGCUUGUUGGUGGGGUAAUGGCCUACCAAGGCGACGACGGGUAGCCGACCUGAGAGGGUGAUCGGCCACACUGGGACUGAGACACGGCCCAGACUCCUACGGGA